GCGCGCCUGGCGGAACAGGCAGACGCGCCGCCCUCAAAAGGCGGUCCCCGAAAAGGGGGUGCGGGUUCGACUCCCGCGGCGCGCA